rnacentral:rRNA from 1 species
GAUGAACGCUGGCGGCGUGCCUAACACAUGCAAGUCGAGCGAAGCACUUACUUUAGAUUUCUUCGGAAUGACGAAGUUUGUGACUGAGCGGCGGACGGGUGAGUAACGCGUGGGCAACCUGCCCUGUACAGGGGGAUAACAGUUAGAAAUGACUGCUAAUACCGCAUAAGCCCACAGCUUCGCAUGAAGCAGUGGGAAAAACUCCGGUGGUACAGGAUGGGCCCGCGUCUGAUUAGCUAGUUGGUAAGGUAACGGCUUACCAAGGCGACGAGCAGUAGCCGACCUGAGAGGGUGACCGGCCACAUUGGGACUGAGACACGGCCCAAACUCCUACGGGAGGCAGCAGUGGGGAAUAUUGCACAAUGGGGGAAACCCUGAUGCAGCGACGCCGCGUGAGCGAUGAAGUAUUUCGGUAUGUAAAGCUCUAUCAGCAGGGAAGAAAGUGACGGUACCUGACUAAGAAGCCCCGGCUAACUACGUG